rnacentral:siRNA from 1 species
CAAUUAUCCAUCGGUUACUGCUG